UCCACUCAGGAAUCAUUAAGAUUUAGCCCUGCAGAACUAGUGUUCGGUCAUACUCUUCGCAGUCCACUAACAAUUCUGAAAGAGAAACUUUUGAACUCUGACACUUCCGCUCAGGAGAACAUUUUGGAUUAUGUUUGUAAGUUUCGUGAGCGUUUGCAUUCUUCCCGUGCAAUUGCACAAGAGUUCCUUUGUGACUCUCAGAAAUCAAUGAAAAGGCGUUAUGAUCAUUCUGCUGUUCUUCGUCACUUUCAGGUUGGCGGCAAAGUUUUGGCAUUACUGCCUGUCCCUGGAUCUGCUCUUGAUGCCAAGUUCUCAGGAAGCUUAACAGAAGCCAGCUUAACUAUUCCAUCAUUGAGAAGGAAGCCUUGGCUCUGCUUUUGGCCUUACAACACUUUGAGAUAUACCUUGGAUCCUGUCCUUCUCCUAUUGUGGUCUACACCGGCCAUAACCCACUAGCACACUGGCCAGCCGAUGUCGCUGCAAAGCACCAGUUUCCUCCGUCCUAUUGGUACUGCUGUUUCUGAUGGGAUCGGAUUUCUUCUUCUACCCUCCUACUGGACCUUCGCUGGUUAAUCUCUUCUUCGCUGGAUACUCUCUUCUUCGUUGUUCCUGACGGACUCGGAUCUCCCUGGACGCUCUUCACUCCUCCUGCCGGACGUCUCAGGGAGCUCAUGUGGACUAUUCAUUUCCUGAUUCUUCCAGAUUCGCCGCCAAUCACUGAAGAGACCACACCAUAUAAACUCUCUGCACCUGCCACUAAGGGCAGCUGUGAUUUGGACUGAACAGCUCGCCACUUUUGACCAGGGUGUUUUGAAACUUUGAAACAUUGACUUUGCCUGUGUGCUUACCUGCUUGUUGGCAGCUUGACUAUUUUGUGUGCUUACCUGUUUGAUGGUUAGCUUGACUCCAACUUGACUCAGAGGAGUCUCUUUAAAGCUUGUUAAGCUUUCUCUUGAAUUGUUUGUUUGCUUGUUGUUAGCUGGGACUCUUUGAUUUAAGAAACUGUUGAGUUAGC